ACUGUAACACUGCUGUCCACUAAAGCAGCAGUUGAUAGCUUCACAUUCAGCACUACUGAUACCAGGUUGUCCACAUUGGAUCUGCUCAUAAUCAGCUACAGCACAUUUGUCCAAAGGCUCAGCCUUCGCUACUGGCUUCUGAAUCUGAAACUUCUGAGGAAACUGCUGAUUAGGCUGUUGAACUGGCUUCUGAAACCACUGGUCAGUUUGCUGGAGCAUCAGCGCUUGAGGGUUCUGAGGCAGUUUACUCAACUUACUCAACUUUGGAAGAGCAUGACAGAAAGCACACAGUGCCAAUACCUGAAACAAACACCAACUUCCAGCCAUCAUCCAACCGUUAACCACACUAUUGAAAUACUGCACUUUGGUCUUUUUGUACUCUACAGAUCUCAGCUAAUUAGCUAUAGUCCCUCCCUCUUCAUUAACAAUCAUGAUUCUCCAAACGAGUGUGAACUCAUGCAACUGGGCGAUACUCAUUGGUUCUUAAGACUCAAUUUUCCUCGUUCUUCCCCAUUUGAAUUCAGCGUGGGUUUUAUUCUUCAUUAAGCUCGAGAGACACUGCACAAUUUUCGGCUGUCCCAGACAAAAGAUGGGCAUCGUGAAACAAUCGUGGCGAUUUCUGUGAUCGUGGCUCCUAGUCAGUGGUCCUAUGUCGUACAGUGAGAGAGGUUCAAAGACGGCCGUUGUCACAGUCUUGCAACCAAAGAUAGCCUACGACAGGGAUAGGCAACUUCGGUCCUGGAGGGCCACUGUCCUGCAGAGUUUAGCUCCAACCCUAAUUAAACACACCUGAACAAGGCAAUCAGUGUUUUCGGGAUUACUAGAUAGAUACAGGCAGGUGAGUUUUUAUGAGGGCUGAAGCUAAACUCUGCAGGAUAGUGGCCCUCCAGGACCGGAGUUGCCUAUCCCUGGCCUACGAUAAUUUUCUGGCAGUGUCAGAAAUUCAGCAUGUUCAUCGCACGGUGUGUUUGCAGUUAAGACCCACGUUUACUAAUUUUAAAAUGAUUAAACUUAUGUUUUUCUUUUGAUCUCUGUGUGAAACUAUACAUAAUUAAAUUCAGUUGAUUCCUUUGCAUAGUCAUAUAUUUUCUUUCUGAUGCCUUCUCAUACUUUUGCUAAAGCAGAAAUGUUUAUUCCUGCCUUGUAAAUACAUUUAAAUUUAUUACAUUUUUAAUAACGACAUCUCUUAAUCUUCAGCAGAAAAGUGAAUAGCACUCACUCUCCCAAGAAGUGAAUCCAGCUGACACUUUGCUGAUGCUCUCCACAUGUUUCGUGUGAUUGGCUGUUUGCUGCACGUGUCACACGUUCAAGCAAGUGCUCCAGAGUUAACCACAAACUCUGGAUCGAACUCUGAGUUGACAGAGAACAGUUAUAUCGAGCUUUGUGUGCCCAGUGAACCUGACCUAGACCAGGUUGGCUUUAUCGGGUUUGCGAACUCAAAACUUACUCAGCAACUCUGAGUUUGUUCAUCUCGUUUCAUGCUUCAGGCCACAGGCCUGUAUCUUCAGACUGGCUCAA
ensembl:lncRNA